rnacentral:rRNA from 1 species
AUUGAACGCUGGCGGCAGGCUUAACACAUGCAAGUCGAGCGGAGAUGAGGUGCUUGCACCUUAUCUUAGCGGCGGACGGGUGAGUAAUGCUUAGGAAUCUGCCUAUUAGUGGGGGACAACAUUCCGAAAGGAAUGCUAAUACCGCAUACGUCCUACGGGAGAAAGCAGGGGAUCUUCGGACCUUGCGCUAAUAGAUGAGCCUAAGUCGGAUUAGCUAGUUGGUGGGGUAAAGGCCUACCAAGGCGACGAUCUGUAGCGGGUCUGAGAGGAUGUUCCGCCACACUGGGACUGAGACACGGCCCAGACUCCUACGGGAGGCAGCAGUGGGGAGUAUUGGACAAUGGGGGGAACCCUGAUCCAGCGAUGCCGCGUGUGUGAAGAAGGCCUUAUGGUUGUAAAGCACUUUAAGCGAGGAGGAGGCUACUGAGACUAAUACUCUUGGAUAGUGGACGUUACUCGCAGAAUAAGCACCGGCUAACUCUGUGCCAGCCGCCGCAGUAA